AUGGACCAUUUCCGUAUGGCGGCUUCCCAACCCAACAAACCAACAAUGAAGGAGGAUGGCGAAGAUGAGAUGGCGGGAUGGUGGGAGAAGGCUGCGAAGAAGCUUAGAGAGGAGGAUGCAGCCAAGCUAAAGAAGAAAAAGGAAGAGGAGCUUGAGGAGAAGAGGAAGGAAGAAGAGAGAGCGUCAAAUGCGAUGCGCGCUAGGGAGCAAGCAUUGGUGAGGAAAUGUGAGGAGGCACGGAAGAAGCGUCAAAAGGAUUUUGAAGAAGGAACCAUGAAGCUUUGGGCAAUUGCAGCUGGAAAAAAAAGAGGGAGGAAAAGAUAUUCAUGGAGAGGGUGGUUAAGGAGGCCCACCUCAUAA
rnacentral:rRNA from 1 species